GCAUCUCUUAAGCACAGUUUAAUCACAUUGCUGGGAACUGCAAUUAUUUUGCAUCUCCCGGAGGCUCCUGAGAGACAACUGUAAAUAAUGGCUUAUUCUCUUCACCAAACAAGAAGGCAAUUGACUCACACAAUUGCCUGAAGACUGGGCCUGGGAACUCCAGUUUCAUUCCACAGGGAUGCACUUAAAGGGCUGGCGUAGAGAAUGAAAAACUCCCCAAUGGAGUGCCUUCCUGCCUUCUCUAACUACAAAGUUCUUUAAGAAGCCAAGGGAGGCGUUACCUUCUUGUAUGCAGUCAGACUUCCACAGGAGUUUUGCUCCGGCUCACUGCAAUCUUGGCUCACUGCAACCUCCGCCUCCUGGGUUCAAGCGAU
rnacentral:lncRNA from 10 species